rnacentral:lncRNA from 1 species
AAGUUGACUGCCGGCGACGAAGUAGACGGCUGCUCCGGCGAAUUAGGAGUGGUGGACGGUGGAGAGGAGGUCUCUUUGAAGACUAUGGAGUAGGAUAUAUAUGGAGACGAACUCGUUCUGCACGUGCACCACGGGCUUGCUGGAAUCCUACCGGCGCGGCGGUGGAACUUGAUCUCGUCGGGCAAGUGCUCCCGCUGUGAAAUUGAGAGGUUUGAAGGGUCAGAGAGGUGAACAUGUGACAUAGAAUAAUAAUUUUGCAGGAAUUAGGGCAUGAGUCCCACGUACGGCGAUGCUACCUUCGUCAAUUCAUGGCUACAUUGAGGAACUCAGCGAGAGAUUCCUCUGUGUACAACGGAAUAGGGAGAGGGGUUUUAU